rnacentral:rRNA from 1 species
UACAGAGGGUGCAAGCGUUGUUCGGAAUUACUGGGCGUAAAGCGCGUGUAGGCGGCGUCGUUAGUCGAAUGUGAAAGCCCUCGGCUCAACCGAGGAAGUGCAUCCGAUACUGCGACGCUUGAGUGUUGGAGGGGGUGGCGGAAUUCCCGGUGUAGAGGUGAAAUUCGUAGAUAUCAGGAGGAACACCGGUGGCGAAGGCGAGUCUCUGGACAUUUCCUGACGCUGAGGCACGAAAGCCAGGGGAGCAAACGGG